rfam:Triticum urartu cultivar G1812 contig528330, whole genome shotgun sequence.
AAGAUAGCACCCCCCGUCCUGAAAUACUUGUCAGAGAAAUGGAUAAAAAUUGAUGUAUCUAGAACUAAAAUACAUCUAGAUACAUCCAUUUCUCCGACAAGUAUUUCUGGACGGAGGGAGUAUAUU